rnacentral:rRNA from 1 species
UACGUAGGGGGCAAGCGUUGUUCGGAAUUACUGGGCGUAAAGGGCUCGUAGGCGGCCAACUAAGUCAUACGUGAAAUCCCUCAGCUUAACUGGGGAACUGCGUGUGAUACUGGAUGGCUUGGAUUUGGGAGAGGGAUGCGGAAUUCCAGGUGUAGCGGUGAGAUGCGUAGAUAUCUGGAGGAACACCGGUGGCGAAGGCGGCAUCCUGGACCAAUAUUGACGCUGAGGAGCGAAAGCCAGGGGAGCAAACGGG